CAUUUAGUAAUUUAGACUUUGAAGCCAUUGGAAGAAUCUUAAUUAAACCUUUUUUAGGCAUGAAAAAAUAGCUAUUACAGUGCUUGCAAAACCUAUCUUUCGCUUGGCUCAUGCGUUAUUAGGAUGAUGCUUAAAUUAUUAUUUUUUAAUGUAACUGUGUCUCCUUUAUUAAGAAAUGUUGACUAGACAAGUGAUCUGUCCAAAUUUAAAACUAGAAAUAGAACCUUUAUCUCCCACCCUGUCUGAAUUAUUCUUUCCAUAUGUAGCUGCUUAGUUGUGUCUUUACCACUAAUUAACCAUGUGAACUCUAAGCAAGUUAUUUUACUUUUCUUCAUCUUUUUAUCUUUUGUAAAAUUAGGGGGUUAUUAUGAAUCAUUUCUAACAUCUCUGCUAAUGCCCCAGAUACUGUAAAUGACCCAGAAUGUAAUUGCGGGCAGUGUUAACUUAGCUUCCUAGAAGAUGGGGGAUAUGACUGGGCCUUGAAUAAAAUCCAAGAUUUGGCAGAGUAGAGAGGGAAAGAAUUCAUGAGAUGGGGAGCAGUAGAACAAAGGCUUAGGUGUGAAUAUGUGGCUGUAGUAAAGAGAAAUGGCCUGAUUAUAGCAAUUAUAUGAGGUUUAGUAGAACCAUUUAAGAAAGGUAAAGCCACUUCAUAGAAAUUAUUUUAUCCCUGACUUCCUUUCCUCUGAGGUACCCUUUUUCUUUCCUUUAUUUUCUUUUUGAAGUGGGUACUCCAACUCUACACAACGCCUGUGUAGGCUGCAGGCACCAAUAAGUGGUGAUGUCAGAAUCUAGUUUGUUUCUCUGUAAAUGCUAGAUGAAAUGUUGAUUCAAUUGCUGUUGUCUUUGGGCCAUUCCUUGAAAAUGGAAGGGAAAGUUCUUCUGUG
rnacentral:lncRNA from 1 species